ensembl:lncRNA
GUGUAGUGUAGUGUAGUGUGUGUGUAGUGUAGUGUAGUGUAGUGUAGUGUGUAGUGUGGUGUGGUGUAGUGUGUUGUAGUGUGGUGUAGUGUAGUGUAGUGUAGUGUGUGUGUAGUGUAGUUUGGUGUAGUGUGUGUAGUGUAGUGUUGUGUAGUGUAGUGUGUAGUGUGUAGUGUAGUGUAGUAUAGUGUAGUGUAGUGUGUAGUGUAGUGUGGUGUGGUGUGGUGUAGUGUAGUGUAGUGUAGUGUAGUGUAGUGUGUGUGUAGUGUAGUGUGUAGUGUAGUGUAGUGUAGUGUAGUGUAGUGUAGUGUGUAGUUGUGUGUGUAGUGUAGUGUAGUGUGGUGUAGUGUGUGUGUAGUGUAGUGUAGUGCAGUGUAGUGUAGUGUAGUGUAGUGUGUUGUGUGUGUGUGUAGUGUAGUGUAGUGUAGUGUGUGUGUGGUGUGGUGUGUGUGGUGUAGUGUGUAGUGUGGUGUAGUGUAGUGUAGUGUAGUGUAGUGUAGUGUAGUGUAGUGUAGUGUGUGUGUGGUGUGGUGUGUGUGGUGUAGUGUGUAGUGUGGUGUGGUGUAGUGUAGUGUAGUGUAGUGUAGUGUUGAAGUGUAGUGUUGUGAUGUAGUGUAGUGUGUGUGUGGUGUGUAGUGUGGUGUGGUGUGGUGUGGUGUGGUGUGGUGUGGUGUAGUGUGGUGUGUAGUGUAGUGUGUGUAGUGUGUGUAGUGUAG